GUCAGGAGAAGACUGAUUCUUAGCUUUAGCACUCAAGUGAUCAAGUGAUGUGAGUGGCUGGGUCCUGCUUUGUUUGGUUGCAGAUUCUUUUUCCUCACAUUGCUGAGUAUGAUAUGGUGUGAGCUGGAUCAGUCAAAUUUAACUUGCUUUUAGUUGGAGCCAUCAUCACAAAAGCAAAGAUACUGUUUUAUAAAUACAGUUCCCAAGCCUCUUUCAGAUGCCAACUGUUGAUGAGCUAUUUUACACUCUUACCUCUUACUCAGCAAAUACAUCUUCUGAAGUGAGUUCCCAUUCACCGUUAAGUGAAACAACUUGCAUUUGAUGAAGCAACUUCUGUUGUGACAUUGGCAGAGAACAUCUAAAGUCAAUUUGAUGCCUCGAACAACCUGGCUAGUGCAUAUUCUUCGACUGCAUGGAAUUUGUUCACGUACCUUUUUUGAGAAGAUAUCGAUGUUUUUAAUCAGACAGGGACUAUUUUUCUGCUCAUACUUUGCUUUGAUGAAAUUUUUUUUGGGAGAUUGAGCUUUUGAAGAAGUGUUUCAUAUAUUUGAGUCAAAUAAAAUAUUACCUAUUGGAGUGAUAGACCCUUUUAUGUUACUGCUUUACAAAUACAGAUUUACAAAUACAUCCUCAGACAAUUCUUAUUGUUGCUUGCUCUUCUGACACAUAAUGUAUCUUUUACUAAUUGUACUUUUAUUAUGGAUUGAAAUAUAUUUAUUUUGGAGCAAAUGUUUGCUUUUUUUUUUUUUUUUUGGAAAGGCGGAAUCUUACAAUUUCUGAUUUGUUAAUGAAAA